rnacentral:rRNA from 1 species
CAGCAGCCACGGUAAUACGUAGGGUGCAAGCGUUAAUCGGAAUUACUGGGCGUAAAGCGUGCGCAGGCGGUUAUAUAAGACAGAUGUGAAAUCCCCGGGCUCAACCUGGGAACUGCAUUUGUGACUGUAUAGCUAGAGUACGGCAGAGGGGGAUGGAAUUCCGCGUGUAGCAGUGAAAUGCGUAGAUAUGCGGAGGAACACCGAUGGCGAAGGCAAUCCCCUGGGCCUGUACUGACGCUCAUGCACGAAAGCGUGGGGAGCAAACAGGAUUAGAUACCCCGGUAGUCCCUGUCUCUUAUAA